CGGUAGUUCAACCAUUCAUAGCAAUAGUCCAAGCGUCUAACAGAGUUCUGGUUAGUUUUUCUCAAGUGGUUUGACUUCUAGACUUAGGUUGCGGCAUUUCAACAUUUCUCUGUAAAAUUGUAACUCUUGAAAAAUCAACAUCUUAGUAGAAACGAAAGGUAUGCUGUUCCCAACAAAUUAUACCAUACCACACUAACCUGGUAUAUGUUUCCCCGAAAAAUCUAUGUUCACUUAUGUACAUGGCUACACAAAUUCUAUCUAUGCACCCAACAGAAGUUCUAGGCAUUCUAAAAAAUCAACACCUUCAUUCUCCGUGAAAUACAUCUAUGGAUAAUCUUUACCAAGGCAAAAAUAUUUCGUUCUAACUUCACUCCUCCCCUCUCCUUUUUUGAAACAUCUAUGCUUGAUGACAUUUUUACAGCCCCUGCAUGCUAUACUUUACUGUACAUUCCCUGCAAUAAACUGAAUAUCCAGCCAGAAACUCCUCACACAAACCUUCGCAAUCUUCGCCCCAUGGAAGAAUUCCCCUAGAAAAAUCCACAUACACUUGAAAGUUUACUGCCUCUAAGACAAUUAUAUGCCUUGUACUUAGCAUCUACCCCGCACUAUGCUCGUAUACUUAUGCUUGAGAAAUUUACUUUCCUUCUGUGAUAUCUGAUGUAUACGUACUAUAGGUGGUGCAGUGCAAAACAGAUCUGGAAGUAAGAGAAGUAAGAAAUAUUCGAGAACUAAAAAAACGUUUGUUGAUAUUAGUGUUAAAUAAUUAAAUGCAUGUGUACAGGUAUUUCAUAUCUAUAACUGGGGAUUGAUUCCUGCAAUAGGCAGUUUUCUGAUAAUAAUUGCACUUGAAUUACAUGGGAAGAGUGCUGUUAAUCUGAUUCCGCAGCUUUACAACAUGCAGGAACAGUCGGUUUUAUCUGUAGUAUCACUGGAUAAAUGCAUUGAAGUUAAAAUUGUCUUUUUUUUGUUUAGGGAUUGAAAACGUGCAAUCCUUUAAUGAAUCCAAAUUUGUCAGGUAAAACUUUAAACUUUCAUUAUCAAUAUUUUAUAUUUGUGAAAUAUAUUUAUCUUAUGUAAAUUGUGCUUUUAUAUUUCAAUUAUAGUCAGUCUCCUGUAUCGCAAAGUCAAAGUGGACGUGUUAUUUUUCCUAUUAGCCACCUUAAUCUUAACCGUACUAGGUCAGUGGCAAAAAGGAGAGCGCAAUCUACGCAUAAAAAUGUAUUAAAAACAAUUCUUUUAAUCUGGAUGUAGUAUUAAUUCUAUUUGUUUGAA